UGGGAGCAAAAUAAGAAAGAAUUUAUCCUGCGUGCGCGCACAUAUUUCUGUAAGGGCUCGUUUUGGUUAACCAAAUCCCCCCAGGGAUCUCCCCUCCAGGCUCCAGCGCGCACCCCAUUGGUUCUUCGACUUCGGUGAGCAUUCCCCUCCAUCCACUUCCUCCUCUUCUCUCCCUCUUCUGCUCCUAGGUUUCUCUAAAGCUUCCAUCAGAUCUGUGUUACAAGGGGUGUCCUCUGCUCCUAGGGUUCGUGAGGGAAACACACGAAGUGAAGCCCUUGGAGAGAUUCACGUUUCAACCACCUUGCAAGAUCGCAAAUUUAUCUCUAGGAGGUAUGCGUUAUUGCAAUCCAACUUUCUUUUCUCGAACACGCCGAGCGGCGUGUCUGUUAUUGCAAUCCAACUGAAUUUACUGCUUUUUUUUGUAGACCUCUAGAUACCCAACAAAAGCAUGGUUUAAUUCUGUUGCUUGGCUACUGAUCCUGAGAUGAUAAUGUAUUGUGUGUCGGUAAUCAAAAUAAGUCUUGUACCUAAACGUAUCCUUGUCCUAAUUCACAUAAACCUUGAGAUAAAAAUAACUAGAAUAGAGGUCUGCUUGGAUAACCUCAUCCUAAUUCAGGUUAGGGGUUUGUUGUAUUGUCCUGGACAAUGGAGUUUCAUGGUAGCUUGACACAAUAUAUUUCAGAAAUCUGAAGGUUGUAUGGAAGAAGCAUUUAAAAAAUUGUCCGUAAUGAUUUUCAAGCGCAAAUCAGUUUAAUACUUUGAUAUGUUGCUCUGAAUAUCAUCUCGAUCUUAAUUGUUUUGGCUCAUAAAAAAACAAGAUUAUUAUUCUGAAAAAAGGGUACUCAAUUGAAGGCUGGAGAAACUUGCUUCAUAAUUUUACAUAGGCUUUCAGUCUAACGAAUUGUCCAUUUAUAGUGCUCGGAUAAUGUUCAGGUUCCUUCCAAUGCUGCCAUGAAUUCGUGUCUUUUACAGAGACACGAAGUUGUCAAUAUUCAUGCAUCUUACACCAUUGCAUCACAAUGUUAUUUUAAGCUAGACCUGCAACUUUGUAAUUGAACAUUGCCCUUUAUUGUCAACUGACCAUAAUUUUACAUAUAUUUUUUUCAAGGAGGAGACAUAAUUUUAGAUAUGAUGCAUCAUAUUGAACGUUCUCUGGUUAGUGUCCUUCCCCCCUUCUCGGGCGACAAUAUCCGUGUCUUUAACUCUUUAUUGUUAUUGCACAGGAAUUAGGAGAAAAUUGAUGUCUUUGGACUUAUGCUUGUGACAGAUUGGCCUAAGAAAAUAUGAUUUCAUACAAAUGUCAUGCAUCCAUGGAGUAGGUUAUGCUUGCACCCAACAUUUCGUGUGUGGCGGCUAAUGUUGAGAUAUGUGUCGAAUAUGUGUACCCAAAAGCAUGGUUUAAUUAUGUUGCUUGGCUACUGAUCCUGAAAUGAUAAUGUAUUGUGUGUCGGUACACAAAAUAAGUCUUGUACCUAAACGCCUGACAAGUAAAUCAAACCCGUAUCCUUGUCCUAAUUCAGAUAAGCUUUGGGAUUAAAAUUAACUAAAAUAGAGGUCUGUUUACCUGAGAAGUAAUCAAACUUGUAGCAUCUUUAGGAUAACGUCAUCCUAAUUUAGGUUACCGGUUUGUUGUAUUGUCCUGGACAAUAAAGUUUCAUGGUAGCUUGGCACAAUAUAUUUCAGAAAUCUGAAGGUUUAAUAGAAGAACCCUUUUAAAAAGAUUGUACGUAAUGAUUUUCAA
rnacentral:lncRNA from 1 species